UGUGCACCGGUGGGGUCCCUCAGCCUAGCCUGUGCCCUCUCCCAAUCCAGGACCCCUCGGGGAUUGUUGGCAAGCCGGUUUCUGCCGGAUCCCGCAGGCCAGGCUGAGGGACCCCACUGGUGCACA
rnacentral:pre_miRNA from 1 species